rnacentral:rRNA from 1 species
GACGAACGCUGGCGGCGUGCUUAACACAUGCAAGUCGAACGGGUCUGCCCUGUUUUUUGCGGGGUGGGUCAGUGGCGAACGGGUGAGUAACACGUGAGUAACCUGCCCCUCACUUCUGGAUAAUCGCUUGAAAGGGUGGCUAAUACGGGGUGUUCUGGCUGUGCCGCAUGGUGUGGCUGGGAAAGAUUCACUUUUGUGGUGUUUUGGUGGGGGAUGGGCUCGCGGCCUAUCAGCUUGUUGGUGGGGUGAUGGCCUGCCAAGGCUUUGACGGGUAGCCGGCCUGAGAGGGUGGGCGGUCACACUGGGACUGAGAUACGGCCCAGACUCCUGCGGGAGGCAGCAGUGGGGGGUAUUGCACAAUGGGCGGAAGCCUGAUGCAGCGACGUCGCGUGAGGGAUGGAGGCCUUCGGGUUGUGAACCUCUUUCGCCGGUGAAGAAGGUCCUGCUCUUUGUGGUGGGGUUGACGGUAGCCGGGUUAUGAAGCGCCGGCUAACUACGUG